UUUAAACCAUAAAUAGAAUGAUAAAAGACAGUUAUAUUGAAUAUUUAAAUAAUAUUUUUUGUAUUUGUGACUUAGUAAUAUUUUUUAUGGCUGUGCUGGGUCUUCAUUGCUGCUCAGGCUUCUUUCUGGCUAUAGCAAGCGGGGGCUACUCUAGCUGCGGCGUGCAGGCUUCUCAUUGCGGUGGCUUCUCCUGUUGCAGAGCAUGGGCCCUGGGUGCAUGGGCUUCAGUAGUUGUAGCACGUGGGCUCAGUAGUUAUGGGUCCCAAACUCUAGAGCACAGGCUCAAUAACUGUGGCACAGGAGCUCAGUUGCUCUGAGGCCUGUGGGAUCUUCCCAGGUUAGGGAUCCAACUUGUGUCUCCUGCAUUGGCAGGUGGCCUGUUUACUACUGAAAGAAUCCAGGGCACCAGGGAAGCCCUGUGUGUUCUUUUUUAAACACAUCAGAUAAAAAGAUCGAGUGGCAGGUCCAAAACUACCAGGAUGUCACAGGUGUCAUAAGCAUGAACAGUAUCUUAGGAUCCCUGGGGCAGCUGUGAUAAGGAAGUAGCUGUGAUUUCUCUUGGUGAUAAAGUCCCAAGUUGCUGGUAAUUGGCCUCUGGAUUGUUGCCUACAUUUAAAAUGGAAGGAAAUGUUACAUUUCAGUUAGAGACUAGUGAAAAUAUAGGUGUAAUUUUUUUUCCUGUCCAAGUGCAUGGAACUUGGGUUCAUGCAUCACAGUUUCAGAACUGCUUGAGGGUGGCUGAAAAGCUGUGACAAACCUAGACAACGUAUUAAAAAGCAGAGACAUCACUUUGCUGACAAUGGUCCGUAUAGGCAAAGCUAUGGUUUUUCCAGUAGUCAUGUACAGGUGUGAGAACUGGACCAUAAAGAAAGCUGAGCGCUGAAGAAUUGAUGCUUUCGAACUGUAGUGCUGAUCCUGAUGCUGGGAAAGAUCGAAAGCAGGAGGAGAAGGGGAUGACAGAGGAUGAGAUGGUUGGAUAGCAUCACCGACUCAAUGGACAUGAAUCUGAGCAAACUCUGGGGGAUAGUGAAGGACAGGGAAGCCUGGCGUGCUCCAGUCCAUGGGGCUGCAAAGACUUGGAUACAACUAGCAACUGAGCAACAACAAUCAAUAUUGGCUGAGUUCUUGCUAGGUACUAGUUACCUGGUGAUAUGGGAGGCUAGGGUUUAGCAAUGAAAAAAACAGUUCCUGCUCACCUGGGGUUUACCACCCAGGGAGGGAAGACUAGGGGAUAUACAGUUCCGAGUGGUAGGUGCCAGGAAGGCAGUGCAGAAGAGAACAGCAAGGUCUGUUUCCCAGGAAGGCCUCUCUGAGGAGGUGUUCUUCGCUCUGGGAUCGAGCCAUGCUGAGAGGUAGAGGAAGGGUGUUCCCGGCAUAGGAGCUGCAAAGUGCACAGGCCGUAAGCGGGGAACAGCUGACAGCAUUCCAGGGCCUGCAGGAGGUCCUAGAGACUGGGACUGAGUGGCAGGUGGGGGCUUCCUGGAGUGUCGGAGAUGGAGUCCCAGAGGCUGGCUGGGCCCAUCAGGCAGGCUUUGUGGGCCAGAGUGAGGGGUUUGGGUUUUCUUCUCAGUUUGACAGGCAGCCUUUGGCAGGUUUAAGCAGGAGAGUGAUAUGGCUGUGAUGUGGUUUACAUUUUGGAAAGAUCCUUCUAGCUAUGUGUGGGGAACAGAACAGAGAGAGCCAGGCUGGCAGCAAGAUCCAGUGAGGAGGCCAGGCAGGGGUCCCAGUGAGAGACCAUGGCAACCUGGACCGGGGUGGGGCCUCGGGGUGGAGAGAAGUGGACAGAUCUGGGGUAUCAUUUGCAAAGUGGCUCAGUGGCCCAGGACUUUUUGGAGGUGGGGAUGAGAGAGACGGGUAUAGCAAAUGACCCCCCCGCUCCCCGCCCAGCUGAGAAACAGACCUGGACCUUGCUGCCUCCCCUCGCCUGUUCAGCCCCCUGCAGCCCUCCGGCCCCUCUGGGGCCAGCCACCCGCCCACGGGCCCCUGGCAUGCGAGCUUCGCAGCUGGCCUUGAUUGUUGUCACUCCCCAGGGAGUCAUGGGAACACACUCCCCCUGCCCUCUGCGCCCCCCUCUUCCUAGACAGGGCCAGGCCCUAACAAUGCCCCUCAGCCAGCCAGUGGCCUGGACACAAUGCCCCUGUUUCGGUUCAUUGCCAGCUCCAGGAGGCCUGCUGGGUUUCCUGGCCUGUUUGGCAUAUAUAUAACUCUGGCUUCCAGCAGGGAUUUUUUUGUUGUUCAAAAAAAAAAAGGAGAAGGAGGGAGGGAGAAUAUCUCAGGCUCCUCCUUUCUGAAUAUCUUAAUAUAUUAUGAAAAGCCUUUCUCUUCUCUUCGUGAGCUCUUGCUACUCCCCUCCCUGACCGCAUUUGCCAUGUGCUGUCAACCCCGGGACCAAAUGCAGGUCAGCAGGUGUCAGAAAGAAAACGAGAAAAAUGAGAGAAAAGCGACUCGCUCCACCAUGGCCAGCCUCAAAUGUGCUGGUGAGGCUGGAGGUGAUGAGAACAACGAGGCCUCUUGGGGGGCAGGCCCCGGGGCCCCGUGCUUUUCAGCCACCUUAUCUCCGACUUCCAAGACACCCUCCAAAAUGAGGCACAACGUUUUAUCUUGAGCCCCUAGGAAAGAGAAGAGCUGCUGACUAAAAACGGGC
ensembl:lncRNA